CUUGUGGAAGAUGCAUGGGUGCACCAUGGAACUGCAGCCCUGGUCAGAAGCUAUGGAAAAAGGCAGGCUGGACUUGUCUGAGGAAGAGCUGCUUUUCAUGGAAGCUGUUAAUCAGAGGGACACAUCCUUAAAAGUUCAAGGAAAGGCAAGCAUGUUGAAGCCAGUGUCCACCAGAAAAGGAAGGAUGAGUAGGCUGAAGGCAGGGGCAAACCAGCUGUCCUGAGACUGCACCAUGGAGGCAGGUGUGCGAGGGUGUGCAAGGAGAUUUCUUCCUUUCCUCCUGUGCUGUAACAAUUCCUGCAUUCUGUGCCUCUAAUUGUAGGUUCCCCUAAAGACAUUUGGUGUCACUGUAAGGACGGUGUUUCGCUCUCCCUCUCUGCCUGUACAGUUAUUCUCUCUCUGUGCAGUUCGCUCCAUAAGCUGUUGGUGAACAUACCAUGAGACAGAGAGAGAGCGAGACAGGCAGAAACCACACACCAGCCCUUCCUGCUCACUUUCCCACCAUGGAAUAGCUAACCUUGCCCCCACCCACACCUCCAUCACCUCUCAGCGUCCUGCAAUUAUUUUGACCCUCUCUCUGGUCUUUUUGGAAGGAAGCUUCUGUCACUUCUUAACACCACCUGCCUGGAAACACACACAGAGGCAAAACCCCCCAAGCCCUCCUGUGAAGGAAGAAGUCCUUUUUUUUAAACCUCUUUUUGUUUGCUCUGCUCCAGGGCGUCAGACUCCAGUCUGAGCAGCCACAAUUUCUUACCAUGUAUUCUCCUUUUAAACCAUCUCCCUCCUGCACACGCUCAGUCCUUGCAGGCACGGAUCUAACACAACUCCCCGCUUCUCGCCGGCAGGUUCUUUGCUCCCCAUCACUCAGCUGAUCCUGAUCUUUUUUUCUCCUGUUCUCCCCACCCCGGGCACCGAGGUGUGUGUGUCUGCGUGUGAGUGUGCCUGUGUGCAAGGGGGGGAGGUGGGGGGGGCCUUUUUUUUUUUUUUUUUGGGGGGGGGGGGGGGGGGGGGGGGGGGGGGGGGGGGGGGGGGGGGGGGGGGGGGGGGGGGGGGGGGGGGGGGGGGGGGGGGGGGGGGGGGGGGGGGGGGGGGGGGGGGGGGGGGGGGGGGG
rnacentral:lncRNA from 1 species